UCCGUCGUAGUCUAGGUUAGGAUACUCGGCUCUCACCCGAGAGACCCGGGUUCAAGUCCCGGCGACGGAA
rnacentral:tRNA from 1 species